GCCACCUCGAGUUCAAGUAGACGACGCAGUGGUGAACUACGAGUGUGCUACCUAACAUUACCACGUACCACCAUGGUGCAUCAAGCUCAGGGCCUGCUCGUGCAGGAGGUGGCCGCCGACGGGGAGCUGCCGAGCCGCUACGUGCUCAAGGAGCAGCAGGGCCGCCCGGCCGCGGCCGCACAGCGUGCCGCUCCGUCCAUCCCCACCGUGGACGUGGGCCGCCUUGCCAACGCCGACCCCGGCGAGGCCGACAGGCUCCGGUCGGCGCUCGGCUCCUGGGGCCUCUUCGCGGUGACCGGCCACGGCAUGACGGACCCGUUCCUCGACGCGAUCCUCGGCGCGGCGCGGGGGUUCUUCCACCUGCCGACGGAGGCGAAGCAGGAGUACAGCAACGUGGUCGACGCCGACGACGGCGGCCGCAAGUUCCAGCCCGAGGGCUACGGCGUCGACCGCGUCGACACCGACGAGCAGGUCCUCGACUGGUGCGACCGGCUCUACCUCCAGAUCCGGCCGGAUGACGCGCGGCAGCUCCGCUUCUGGCCGACCCACCCGCCGGACCUCGCCGAGCUCCUCAAAGAGUUCAGCGUCGAGGGCGAGAAGGUGGCCAAGCUCGUCGUCACGGCCAUGGCGAGGUGCCUGGGCUUCGAGGAUGGGUUCUUCGUGGACAAGGUCGGCGAGCGGAUGCCGUCGUACGCGCGGUUCACCUACUACCCGCCCUGCCCGCGCCCGGACCUCGUGCACGGGCUCAAGCCCCACACCGACAACUCCGUGGUCACCGUGCUCCUCCUCGACGAGCAGGUCGGCGGCCUCCAGGUUCUGAAGGACGGCAGCUGGGUCGACGUGCCCGUGCUGGGCGACGGCCGACACCAGCUGCUGGUCGUGGUCGGCGACGAGAUGGAGAUCAUGAGCAACGCGGCGUUCAAGGCGCCGGUACACCGGGUGAUGGCGCCGGGGGAGGAGGCGGAGCGGGUGUCGCUGGCGGUGUUCUACCAGCCGGAGGCGGACAAGGUGCUUGAGCCGUCGCCCGAGCUGGUCGACGGGGACCGGCCGGCGAUGUACAAAAGGCUGCAGGCCAAGGUCUUCGCCGACGGCUUCUGGGACGCGUUCGCGCUCGGGGAACGCACCAUCGACUUCCUCAAGGUCAAGGUCGACGCCGCCGAUCCGCCGGCGGCGGCCGUUUCCGGCGAUUGA
rnacentral:rRNA from 1 species